GGGACAGCUGUGCAGGUCCCAUGCAUGGUUUUCUGAAUCUUUCUUUUCAAAUUCCUUGAGGGGUCGAAUAGUUUAGAUUACUAGAAUACAUAGAAUUUCAUCAGCUUGUCCCUAGGAAAUUGAGUUUUAUCAUGCCAAUUUUUCUGAAGUGCCUUUCAUUGUGGUGAUAAGUUACUUAAUAAUAACUUACUGUAAUUGGAUGUGUGUAUUCCCGGCAAUCAAGUGGGAGGGUCUGUCUCCUAUCUUGAUUAUAGAAACUUAAAUAAUGUUUGGCGCUGCUUGGACAGCCCUUCUGCUCCUGACCCGAUGAUGGAGCGCUGCCUGUCGACGGCCAGCCAAUGCCAGGUGCAGCCGGGUGCCGAGCAUGGGAGUGUGGAGAUGAGAGAUAAGGGGAGGCGUGUGGGUGCUGCUCGCUGUCCUGCUGAUGCCUGCGGUCACCAGCAGGGAGUGGAGGGUGAGAACUUCCACUCGUAUGAUAGGAAUUCACUCUGCAGGGCCAACAGAGCCUGGGUCUGGAAGCAUGACGCUUGACCUUUCACGGGGUCAGAAUGUGAGUUAAGAGACAGCCUGCGUCAGCCAGGCACUUUCUGAUGUUUGCAGGGUGUUGGGUUUCCUCCUCAGACUCAGAGAGUGGAGUCGGCUGAAAGCUCCUCUUCUGAGUGGCACACUCUGUACCAUGCACGUGUUUACAGGGAACAGGUACUUUCUGACUCGGCAUGAAAUGAAGGUGUCAGCAGUAACCCCAAUCUUUCUUCCUCUGGCUACCUCUACAGGUGGCCCUGAAGAACACAGGCAUGCAGAAUGACAGAGACGUCUUUGACUCCAGUGUUCUACUUCAUCUGUCUGUCCAUCCCUCAUCCUUCCAUCCAUCACUUCCUAGUGCAUUAUCUGGCUUUGCCUUCCUCUUAAAAUUGUAGCUGAGCAUAACUUCCAAUAUUAAAAGUUUCCUGUCAGAAGGGCUAAGUAACGAGGUCCUCAAACACACGUUGAUUCUGUUGUGAAGAGCAAAACUCAGAUGUUCGAUCUGAGAUGGGACUGGUAUUACUAUUCUCACAAACAGAUAAUACAUGUCUGUUAUGUACACACACACACACACACACACACAUGCACAAACACACGCACGUACCCGCUAGCAAGUAUUGUGAUAACAUAGGACAACUUCAAUAAAACAUAAUUUACUUCCCAAAUGGUCUGUUGAAAUUGGAGGUUUUUAAAUAUAUUUUUAUCUUUAAAUUAAAAUCAAGCAUUGGAGGCAGUCACAUUUUAUCUCUGUGCUUAACAACACUGAUUUAAAAAAUGUUCCAGCCAUGCCUCUGUAGCUGGUUUCCUGGCUUUUAAGAGGAUGUUAGAGAAGACAGCAAUGCCCAUAUUCCUUACAUGAACUGCCAAGAACCAAUGGGAAAUCCCAGAAGGUAGGAUGCUCCCGAAAUUUUUGGCCUGCUUUCUGCAGAAGUUCAUCUUUGUUGCGGGUCCACAGUAACCGAAUCUUCUGGAUCUUGUUGCAUUUGGCAAUGUGCCCAAAAAACACUAGUGAGCUUACAGCUUCCAGAAAAAUCCAGACUGGAUGAGCAAGCUUGAUUUUUCUUCUUGAGUCAUUAUCCCAUACAACAAACAAGACUCCUGUCCAAAAACACAGCUGCCUAAGGUCCUGAUCGCGACAGCCGCCAUCUGUUGAAGGUUCACUAUGGGUCAUGAAUCUGACUGAAGUGCUUUAUGUCUACCAAUUGGCU
rnacentral:lncRNA from 1 species